GACGGGUCGACGGCCUGGACCGUCUGCGGGGUGGGCGCGGCCUGCGGUUCGGGGGCGGACGAGGGCAGCGGUUCCGCCCGCUUCUCGCCG
rnacentral:tRNA from 1 species